rnacentral:lncRNA from 1 species
AAUCGGGUUCCUAUCUGUCCAUACUGCUGCUGGCUCUUGGCUACUGCCACAUUGCUGAGCCUGGGAGGGUGUGGUGGGGAUAUAGUUUUCAAUCUGAAUUUCACUCUCUCAGUCAGUUUCAGUUUUUGUUUUUGAUUUUCCUCCUGGAGAGAUGAUUUCUUUUCUCAGUUCUUUCUGCAGCCUUUAUUUUGCGGGAAUUCUGAACUCAUUCCUUUUUGUUUUCCCUAUAGUUUAUUGCUUCACAGGAAGGGUUGGUCAUUUUACUGAGGCGCUUACCAUUCCAGCAAAAGAUCUCAGUGUUCUGCCUCUAUCAAUACUUAACAGAAUGUUCCCCAACCCCACAUCUCUAGCUGGGAGAAAAAUAAACAGUAAACUUGCUUCCUCUUGACUUGAAUCGGAGGAUCUCACUGGAAGCGGUGGAGUCUGGUGUGAAGAGAAGAAAAUAACAGAAGCUAAAGCAUCAGAUAAUCAGCACGUGAACUCAGAUGAACUCAGAAUAGACAGACACCCAGGAAGACAACUGAACAGAUUUAUGUGGAAAACAUAGACGGGGAAAGCAUCUGAAGAGCUCAUGACAUAAUGGUCUAGUUGUAAAGUUUUGCUUUGUUUUUGUAUUUGCUUUUGCUUGCAGACAGUAAAUUUUUUAUUCAUGGG